rnacentral:rRNA from 1 species
GAGGGUGAGAGUCCUGCUUGGCAUCUGCAGUCCCCAGUGUACGGUGUUCCUUCUACGAGUCACGUUCCUUGGGAUUGGAGCGCAAAGUCGGUGGUAAGUUUCAUCUAAAGCUAAAUAUUGCUUUGGGACCGAUAGCGAACAAGUACCUUGAGGGAAAGGUGAAAAGGACUUUGAAAAGAGAGUUAAAAGUGCCUGAACUUGCUGAAAGGGAAGCGAAUGGAACCAGUCCCACGUGGCAAGAUUGUUGCACGCCAGAAUGAGCGUCUGUUACCUCAGCGCAAGCGGGGCUGCAGGCUUUGAGGAGGAUGUGUGCUAUGUUUCUUGCCCUUCUGCCCACGCCUGUUCACAGCUGAGGAAAACUGCAGGGACGUGGAAACUUGCCUCUCGGUGAGUGGAAGUCUUUGUGGGAACUCACUUGUGGACUGGCUGGUGGCUGAAUGGUUCCAUCUGACCCGUCUUGAAACACGGACCAAGGAGUCUAACAUGUGUGCAUGUUCACGGGUGGCCAAACCUGCUUGCGCAAUGAAGGUGACUGCUGCGAUCCUUGCACCAGCAACCGACCAAUCAAUUGGGAGAGGUUUGAGUACGAGCACAUCUGUUAGGACCCGAAAGAUGGUGAACUAUGCCUGUGCAAGGCAAACUCAGGGGAAACUCUGAUGGAGGCCUGCAGCGAUACUGACGUGCAAAUC